AUUGAACGCUGGCGGCAGGCCUAACACAUGCAAGUCGAGCUAGCGGCGGACGGGUGAGUAAUGUCUGGGACACUGCCUGAUGGAGGGGGAUAACUACUUGAACCGGUAGCUAAUACCGCAUACCAUCAGAUGUGCCCAGAUGGGAUUAGCUAGUAGGUGGGGUAACGGAUCACCUAGGCGACUAUCCCUAGCUGGUCUGAGAGGAUGACCAGCCACACUGGACCUGAGACACGGUCCAGACUGCUACGGGAGGAAGCAGUGGGGAAUAUUGCACAAUGGGCGCAAGCCUGAUGCAGCCAUGCCGCGUGUGUGAAGAAGGCCUUCGGGUUGUAAAGCACUUUCAGCGGGGAGGCGUUACCAGCAGAAGAAGCACCGGCUAACUCCGUGCCAGCAGCCGCGGUAAUAC
rnacentral:rRNA from 1 species